rnacentral:miRNA from 1 species
GGCAGCUUUGAAUGAUGUUACU